rnacentral:rRNA from 1 species
UGGGGAAUUUUCCGCAAUGGGCGAAAGCCUGACGGAGCAACGCCGCGUGGGGGAAGAAGGUUUUUGGAUUGUAAACCCCUUUUCUCAGGGAAGAAGAUCUGACGGUACCUGAGGAAUAAGCCUCGGCUAACUCCGUGCCAGCAGCCGCGGUAAUACGGAGGAGGCAAGCGUUAUCCGGAAUUAUUGGGCGUAAAGCGUUCGUAGGUAGCCAUUCAAGUCUGCUGUCAAAGACCCGGGCUUAACUCGGGAAAGGCAGUGGAAACUGAAUAGCUAGAGUGCGGUAGGGGUAGAGGGAAUUCCCGGUGUAGCGGUGAAAUGCGUAGAUAUCGGGAAGAACACCGGCGGCGAAAGCGCUCUACUGGGCCGCAACUGACACUGAGGGACGAAAGCUAGGGGAGCGAAUGGGAUUAGAUACCCCCGUAGUCC